rnacentral:lncRNA from 1 species
UGUAUUGCAAUCUCUUUACACAGAUCAUUUAUGUUGUAUCUUCCUUUGUUAAAUCUCAUCGAGUUCCUUUCACGCCAACUGCAGUAAAUCACCAUUGCAAAUAUUAUUGUAAUCAUUUCUCCCCUGCAAUCCUUCCUCUUUGCCAUAUUGUAUAUCCAUUGCAAUUCAUACAGCUAGCUUCCUAUCUGUCGUGCAUUGCCAGUCUAAAUCAAAUCUCUUUCCCAUAGUUUCUUGUACUUGGACAACCAAAGUAUAGAUGCUCAAAUAUUUCUACAUGUUGUUCGUAGAAAACACAGUCUGGCUGGACUUGAAUUCCAAACUUGGCAAGUCUAUCCACAGUUGAUAUCCUUUGAUGGAUAGUCAGCCAUAGAUGGAACUUGAAAC